CGGCAACAGCUCAAAUUUGAAAUCUGGCCCCCGGGUCCGAGUUGUAAUUUGUAGAGGAUGCUUUUGGCGCGGUGCCUUCCGAGUGCCCUGGAACGGGACGCCAUAGAGGGUGAGAGCCCCGUCUGGUCGGACACCAAGCCUCUGUAAAGCUCCUUCGACGAGUCGAGUAGUUUGGGAAUGCUGCUCUAAAUGGGAGGUAUAUGUCUUCUAAAGCUAAAUACCGGCCAGAGACCGAUAGCGCACAAGUAGAGUGAUCGAAAGAUGAAAAGCACUUUGAAAAGAGGGUUAAAUAGUACGUGAAAUUGUUGAAAGGGAAGCGCUUGUGACCAGACUUGAGCCCGGUGAAUCAUCCAGCCUUCUGGCUGGUGCACUUGGCCGGCUCAGGCCAGCAUCAGUUCGGCGCGGGGGAUAAAGGCGGCGGGAAUGUGGCUCCCCCGGGAGUGUUAUAGCCCGCCGUGCAAUACCCUGCGCUGGACUGAGGUUCGCGCAUCUGCAAGGAUGCUGGCGUAAUGGUCAUCAGCGACCCGUCUUGAAACACGGACCAAGGAGUCGUCUUCGUAUGCGAGUGUUCGGGUGUCAAACCCCUACGCGGAAUGAAAGUGAACGCAGGUGAGAGCUUCGGCGCAUCAUCGACCGAUCCUGAUGUUCUCGGAUGGAUUUGAGUAAGAGCAUACGGGGCCGGACCCGAAAGAAGGUGAACUAUGCCUGUAUAGGGUGAAGCCAGAGGAAACUCUGGUGGAGGCUCGCAGCGGUUCUGACGUGCAAAUCGAUCGUCAAAUAUGGGCAUGGGGGCGAA
rnacentral:rRNA from 1 species